rnacentral:tRNA from 1 species
AAACUUAGGCUAACAUCAAACCAAAG